UACGAAGGGGGCUAGCGUUGUUCGGAAUUACUGAGCGUAAAGCGUACGUAGGCGGAUUGUUAAGUGAGGGGUGAAAUCCCGAGGCUCAACCUCGGAACUGCCUUUCAUACUGGCAAUCUUGAGUCCGGGAGAGGUGAGUGGAACUCCUAGUGUAGAGGUGAAAUUCGUAGAUAUUAGGAAGAACACCAGUGGCGAAGGCGGCUCACUGGCCCGGAACUGACGCUGAGGUACGAAAGCGUGGGGAGCAAACAGG
rnacentral:rRNA from 1 species